rnacentral:tRNA from 4 species
UCCGCAGUAGCUCAGUGGUAGAGCAUUCGGCUGUUAACCGAAUGGUCGUAGGUUCGAGUCCUACCUGCGGAGCCA